AGUCGCAUGGCUCAGUUGGUUAGAGUGUCCGCUUCACAAAUCACAUCCUGGUUUUGAACUGGGAUUUUGGAAGCCGCGGAAGGUCGAGGGUUCGAUCCCCUCUGUGACUA